rnacentral:lncRNA from 1 species
AUAUCUUUUAUUAUUUAAAGAGUCAAUACAUAAGUCUGGAAGAUUAUAAGAAAAAUCCAUCAAAAUAUAAAUUUCGAUUGGCUUGUAGGGCAUAUUUCUUUCACUGACAAUAUCUCAUAUAGUGUCUUACUAACUGACUUGCUCAGAAUAUUAUUAAGCAUAAGAUAGGCUAUUUCAAGUGCAUAUCCCCAAAAGAAGAUCGACAGAGUUACAAACCCCAUCA